UGGCGGGACGGGGUGGAGUAAUGUCUGGGAAACUGCCUGAUGGAGGGGGGUAACUACUGGAAACGGUAGCUAAUACCGCAUAACGUCGCAAGACCAAAGAGGGGGACCUUCGGGCCUCUUGCCAUCGGAUGUGCCCAGAUGGGAUUAGCUAGUAGGUGGGGUAAAGGCUCACCUAGGCGACGAUCCCUAGCUGGUCUGAGAGGAUGACCAGCCACACUGGAACUGAGACACGGUCCAG
rnacentral:rRNA from 1 species